AGGACGAACGCUGGCGGCGUGCCUAAUACAUGCAAGUCGAACGGUCUUUUCUAUGGAAGCUUGCUUCCACUGAGAAGAUAGUGGCGAACGGGUGAGUAACACGUGGGUAACCUGCCCAUAAGAGGGGGAUAACAUCCGGAAACGGGUGCUAAUACCGCAUAGUUUUCUUGAUCGCAUGAUCGGGAAAGGAAAGACGGCCUUUGUGCUGUCGCUUAUGGAUGGACCCGCGGCGUAUUAGUUAGUUGGUGAGGUAACGGCUCACCAAGACGAUGAUACGUAGCCGACCUGAGAGGGUGAUCGGCCACAUUGGGACUGAGACACGGCCCAAACUCCUACGGGAGGCAGCAGUAGGGAAUCUUCCGCAAUGGACGAAAGUCUGACGGAGCAACGCCGCGUGAGUGAAGAAAAGGUUUUCGGAUCGUAAAACUCUGUUGUCAGAGAAGAACAAGUUGGAGAGUAACUGCUCCAGCCUUGACGGUAUCUGACCAGAAAGCCACGGCUAACUACGUGCCAGCCGCCGC
rnacentral:rRNA from 1 species